rnacentral:rRNA from 1 species
AGCGAACGCUGGCGGCAGGCCUAACACAUGCAAGUCGAACGAACCUUUCGGGGUUAGUGGCGGAUGGGUGAGUAACACGUGGGAACGUGCCUUUAGGUUCGGAAUAACUCAGGGAAACUUGUGCUAAUACCGAAUGUGCCCUUCGGGGGAAAGAUUAAUCGCCUUUAGAGCGGCCCGCGUCUGAUUAGCUAGUUGGUUGAGGUAAUGGCUCACCAAGGCGACGAUCAGUAGCUGGUCUGAGAGGAUGAUCAGCCACAUUGGGACUGAGACACGGCCCAAACUCCUACGGGAGGCAGCAGUGGGGAAUCUUGCGCAAGGGGCGAAAGCCUGACGCAGCCAUGCCGCGUGAAUGAUGAAGGUCUUAGGAUUGUAAAAUUCUUUCACCGGGGACGAUAAUGACGGUACCCGGAGAAGAAGCCCCGGCUAACUUCGUG